GGGUUGUGAGGUUAAGCGACUAAGCGUACACGGUGGAUGCCCUGGCAGUCAGAGGCGAUGAAGGACGUGCUAAUCUGCGAUAAGCGUCGGUAAGGUGAUAUGAACCGUUAUAACCGGCGAUUUCCGAAUGGGGAAACCCAGUGUGUUUCGACACACUAUCAUUAACUGAAUCCAUAGGUUAAUGAGGCGAACCGGGGGAACUGAAACAUCUAAGUACCCCGAGGAAAAGAAAUCAACCGAGAUUCCCCCAGUAGCGGCGAGCGAACGGGGAGCAGCCCAGAGCCUGAAUCAGUGUGUGUGUUAGUGGAAGCGUCUGGAAAGGCGCGCGAUACAGGGUGACAGCCCCGUACACAAAAAUGCACAUACUGUGAGCUCGAUGAGUAGGGCGGGACACGUGGUAUCCUGUCUGAAUAUGGGGGGACCAUCCUCCAAGGCUAAAUACUCCUGACUGACCGAUAGUGAACCAGUACCGUGAGGGAAAGGCGAAAAGAACCCCGGCGAGGGGAGUGAAAAAGAACCUGAAACCGUGUACGUACAAGCAGUGGGAGCACGCUUAGGCGUGUGACUGCGUACCUUUUGUAUAAUGGGUCAGCGACUUAUAUUCUGUAGCAAGGUUAACCGAAUAGGGGAGCCGAAGGGAAACCGAGUCUUAACUGGGCGUUAAGUUGCAGGGUAUAGACCCGAAACCCGGUGAUCUAGCCAUGGGCAGGUUGAAGGUUGGGUAACACUAACUGGAGGACCGAACCGACUAAUGUUGAAAAAUUAGCGGAUGACUUGUGGCUGGGGGUGAAAGGCCAAUCAAACCGGGAGAUAGCUGGUUCUCCCCGAAAGCUAUUUAGGUAGCGCCUCGUGAAUUCAUCUCCGGGGGUAGAGCACUGUUUCGGCAAGGGGGUCAUCCCGACUUACCAACCCGAUGCAAACUGCGAAUACCGGAGAAUGUUAUCACGGGAGACACACGGCGGGUGCUAACGUCCGUCGUGAAGAGGGAAACAACCCAGACCGCCAGCUAAGGUCCCAAAGUCAUGGUUAAGUGGGAAACGAUGUGGGAAGGCCCAGACAGCCAGGAUGUUGGCUUAGAAGCAGCCAUCAUUUAAAGAAAGCGUAAUAGCUCACUGGUCGAGUCGGCCUGCGCGGAAGAUGUAACGGGGCUAAACCAUGCACCGAAGCUGCGGCAGCGACGCUGAUGCGUUGUUGGGUAGGGGAGCGUUCUGUAAGCCUGCGAAGGUGUGCUGUGAGGCAUGCUGGAGGUAUCAGAAGUGCGAAUGCUGACAUAAGUAACGAUAAAGCGGGUGAAAAGCCCGCUCGCCGGAAGACCAAGGGUUCCUGUCCAACGUUAAUCGGGGCAGGGUGAGUCGACCCCUAAGGCGAGGCCGAAAGGCGUAGUCGAUGGGAAACAGGUUAAUAUUCCUGUACUUGGUGUUACUGCGAAGGGGGGACGGAGAAGGCUAUGUUGGCCGGGCGACGGUUGUCCCGGUUUAAGCGUGUAGGCUGGUUUUCCAGGCAAAUCCGGAAAAUCAAGGCUGAGGCGUGAUGACGAGGCACUACGGUGCUGAAGCAACAAAUGCCCUGCUUCCAGGAAAAGCCUCUAAGCAUCAGGUAACAUCAAAUCGUACCCCAAACCGACACAGGUGGUCAGGUAGAGAAUACCAAGGCGCUUGAGAGAACUCGGGUGAAGGAACUAGGCAAAAUGGUGCCGUAACUUCGGGAGAAGGCACGCUGAUAUGUAGGUGAAGUCCCUCGCGGAUGGAGCUGAAAUCAGUCGAAGAUACCAGCUGGCUGCAACUGUUUAUUAAAAACACAGCACUGUGCAAACACGAAAGUGGACGUAUACGGUGUGACGCCUGCCCGGUGCCGGAAGGUUAAUUGAUGGGGUCAGCGCAAGCGAAGCUCUUGAUCGAAGCCCCGGUAAACGGCGGCCGUAACUAUAACGGUCCUAAGGUAGCGAAAUUCCUUGUCGGGUAAGUUCCGACCUGCACGAAUGGCGUAAUGAUGGCCAGGCUGUCUCCACCCGAGACUCAGUGAAAUUGAACUCGCUGUGAAGAUGCAGUGUACCCGCGGCAAGACGGAAAGACCCCGUGAACCUUUACUAUAGCUUGACACUGAACAUUGAGCCUUGAUGUGUAGGAUAGGUGGGAGGCUUUGAAGUGUGGACGCCAGUCUGCAUGGAGCCGGCCUUGAAAUACCACCCUUUAAUGUUUGAUGUUCUAACGUUGACCCGUAAUCCGGGUUGCGGACAGUGUCUGGUGGGUAGUUUGACUGGGGCGGUCUCCUCCUAAAGAGUAACGGAGGAGCACGAAGGUUGGCUAAUCCUGGUCGGACAUCAGGAGGUUAGUGCAAUGGCAUAAGCCAGCUUGACUGCGAGCGUGACGGCGCGAGCAGGUGCGAAAGCAGGUCAUAGUGAUCCGGUGGUUCUGAAUGGAAGGGCCAUCGCUCAACGGAUAAAAGGUACUCCGGGGAUAACAGGCUGAUACCGCCCAAGAGUUCAUAUCGACGGCGGUGUUUGGCACCUCGAUGUCGGCUCAUCACAUCCUGGGGCUGAAGUAGGUCCCAAGGGUAUGGCUGUUCGCCAUUUAAAGUGGUACGCGAGCUGGGUUUAGAACGUCGUGAGACAGUUCGGUCCCUAUCUGCCGUGGGCGCUGGAGAACUGAGGGGGGCUGCUCCUAGUACGAGAGGACCGGAGUGGACGCAUCACUGGUGUUCGGGUUGUCAUGCCAAUGGCACUGCCCGGUAGCUAAAUGCGGAAGAGAUAAGUGCUGAAAGCAUCUAAGCACGAAACUUGCCCCGAGAUGAGUUCUCCCUGACUCCUUGAGAGUCCUGAAGGAACGUUGAAGACGACGACGUUGAUAGGCCGGGUGUGUAAGCGCAGCGAUGCGUUGAGCUAACCGGUACUAAUGAACCGUGAGGCUUAACCUUACAACGCCGAAGGUGUUU
rnacentral:rRNA from 1 species